rnacentral:rRNA from 1 species
UACGUAGGUGACAAGCGUUGUCCGGAUUUACUGGGCGUAAAGAGCGCGCAGGCGGUCGAUCAAGUCGAGUGUGAAAGCCCCCGGCUCAACUGGGGAGGGUCAUUCGAAACUGGUCGACUCGAAGGCAGGAGAGGGUAGUGGAAUUCCCGGUGUAGUGGUGAAAUGCGUAGAUAUCGGGAGGAACACCAAUGGCGAAGGCAGCUCGCUGGGACGUUACUGACGCUGAGACGCGAAAGCGUGGGGAGCAAACAGG